rnacentral:lncRNA from 1 species
GUGUGUGUGUGUAUUUUUUUUGUAGAGAUGGAAUUUCACCGUGUUGCCUAGGCUGGUCUCGAGCUCUUGAUCUCAAGCGAUCCUCCCUGCCUCGGCCUCCCAACGUGCUGGGAUUACAGGCGUGAGCCACUGCGCCUGGCCAGGGUCUGUUCCUAGUUGCAACAGUUCUUGGAAACCCACUCGAGAGGGCCACGCCUCCAUUCACCAGGCCACGCAUCACAAGAGGCAACACCAGGAGCCAACAUGAGCUCGGGGACUGAACUGCUGUGGCCCGGAGCAGCGCUGCUGGUGCUGUUGGGGCUGGCGGCCAGUCUGUGUGUGCGCUGCUCACGCCCAGGUGCAAAGAGGUCAGAGAAAAUCUACCAGCAGAGAAGUCUGUGAGUUGCCUCGAUGUCCCUAGCCUGGUGUAUUCAUGUGCCCUGGGCAUGGACGUCCCCAAGGGAAUUCCUGGC